rnacentral:rRNA from 1 species
GGCCUAACACAUGCAAGUCGAGCGUCAGCGGAAGGAAGCUUGCUUCCUUGCCGGCGAGCGGCGGACGGGUGAGUAAUGUCUGGGGAUCUGCCCGAUGGAGGGGGAUAACUACUGGAAACGGUAGCUAAUACCGCAUAACGUCGCAAGACCAAAGUGGGGGACCUUCGGGCCUCACACCAUCGGAUGAACCCAGAUGGGAUUAGCUAGUAGGCGGGGUAAAGGCCCACCUAGGCGACGAUCUCUAGCUGGUCUAGAGGAUGACCAGCCACACUGGAACUGAGACACGGUCCAGACUCAUACGGGAGGCAGCAGUGGGGAAUAUUGCACAAUGGGGGAAACCCUGAUGCAGCCAUGCCGCGUGUAUGAAGAAGGCCUUCGGGUUGUAAAGUACUUUCAGCGGGGAGGAAGGCAGUGAACUUAAUACGUUCGCUGAUUGACGUUACCCGCAGAAGAAGCACCGGCUAACUCCGUGCCAGCAGCCGCGGUAAUACGGAGGGUGCAAGCGUUAAUCGGAAUGACUGGGCGUAAAGCGCACGCAGGCGGUUUGUUAAGUCAGAUGUGAAAUUCCCGAACUAAACUUGGGAACUGCAUUUGAAACGGGC